rnacentral:lncRNA from 12 species
ACCACCCUUCUUCUUGCCGCAAAGGCCUCUGCCAGUCCCCGGCCUUUGGUCUGUCCUCACCUUCAAAGCAUAUCCGAGCUCCUGGGGUGACAUUCAUCCCACCAUUACCCCGGUCCACUGCCCACCAAAUCAAGGUGCAACCCAUCCUGGCAGGUGAGCCCUCCGGUGCCCAACCAUGCAAACAGCCUCGUGCCCUGCAGGCGACUCCGCUCCCUAUCACCCAGGCAACCUGCCUCUCCUGCACUCUGCUCCCUCCUGCCAGAACACCUUUCUUAUUUUAACCUAUCUCCAUGUCUUGGUUUAAUGCCAGCUCCAACCCAAAGCCUCCCCUAAUCCUGCUAUCUGGAACUAAUCACGUCUUCCUCAGUGCACUCCUGGGUUUCUUUAUGCAACUCCUUUGCCUCGCAUCUCAUUGUGCCUGGUAGGAUAGCUAUGUCGCUUGGGUCACCCCAAAUGAGACUCAGCUCCUUUAUUCACUGCAAGAACCCAAAUGCAAUGAGGAAUGGGGGCCUGGAGGAGACGGGCUCAUUAUACUCGGAAUCCUGCAAAAAGGACACAGCUUCUCAGCGUCUGCCUGUCAGACUUCUUGGCCCUCAGGCUGGACAAGUUCUGGAGGGAGUUCUCAGGAAUCCUUGCAAGCCCAGUUCCAAGGAUCCCCUACCCCUCACCCACGUGGACCACAGGGAGGAGCAAGAAGCCUUCAAGGCACAGACCAGGUUGGACUAGAUUCAGGAACCUAAUUACCACCAGAAAAUUAAAGAAAGGGAGCACUUUCGUCCUGCCGCCCCACGAAGCAGGAUGCGGGCUGAGAUGGAAGAGUCCCAGCCUGGAGAAGUUAAUUAAGUUUAGGCCCUUGGCAUUCCGAGUCACCGGAACCCAUGGUGGGAAGCCUCACCCACUGCACAAAAGAGACCCACAUGGAGCUCGGGACGAUGGUCGCGGCGGGGGCAGCUGGGCUCCCGCGCGCCCCACUGCCAGCUCUUAACCCCCGGGACCGUGUCCCCUCCACUGCACAAACUGAAUAGGCCUGCAGGGCCGCGGGCUGCUUCGGAUGCACGAGGAUGCGGGGAGCACAUGGGCCGUGGUCCAAUGUCACUCAUAGCUGUGCAGGCCCCGGAGUCUGCAAAGAAUCUGCAGCCCCCUGAAGGCUCGGACCAAGGCCUGAUUUGUUUCCAAGUUGUAUUCUCUUUGCUUUAAACAGAAAUCCUCAAAAGCAAGAAGUUGCCCUUUAGGUGAGCAAGCGGCUAUCUAAUUGCUUGUCCUGUCAUCUCCAAGGAGGGGAUGAAGCGUCUGUGGCCUCGGUGAGGAUGGCACAGGACGCUGACACCUUGGAGACCCCACACACAGUUCCUGGGUGCAGGGAGCCCCAGGGUGGACGGAGCAGCCCCCCUCUGCUGUGCAUCUGCAUUUAUGGCACGUGAAGGCGGGAGGGCAACCAAAAGAAUAGGCCAUCUGGGGGGGGGGAUGUGGACUUGGGUUCGAGGUCGGUGUCCUUCUGAAUUCUCAGAGGGUAUGUCCCUUCUGUCAAGUGGAACGUCUCCAGGGUAUGAGGACCCAGAGAGUAUGUGGGUCCGCUGCCCUGAGCAAGGGCGCAAGGGAAAUGCACCUGCCUUCCCUCUAAACCUGCAGUUCUCAAGCAGUUCUCAAAAUCUGGGGGUGGUCAGAAUCCCCUAAGGAGCUGGUGAGCUGCACACUCCUGGGUCCCAGCCUCAGGGGUUCUUUUUUCUUUUUUAAAGAUUUUAUUUAUUCAUUCAUGAGAGGCAGAGAGAGAGAAGCAGCCUCCAUGCAGGGAGCUCAACUUGGGACUUGAUCCUGGGUCUCCAGGAUCACGCCCUGAGACAAAGGUGAUGCUAAACCGCUGAGCCACCUGGGCUGCCCCAGAGGUUCUGAUGAACAGGUCCGGGGUGGGCCCCACACUCUGCAUUCCCAAUGAACUCCCUGCUGCUGCUGAAUUAUAGGCCACACUUUUAGACACUGCCUUAGACCUCUCUCCCCUUCCUUCCUUCCUAAUUUGUAUUAUUUAUUGUGGUUUCUAUAGUGCCUGGCCCAUUGCAGGGGCCACCUCAAAACAUAUUAAUCUAAUGAAAACAGUCCUGUGAAAUAGAUGAAAAGACAAGAUUCCAGAAGGUUAGGUAACCUGGCCAAGAUUACAUAACCAAGAGAUGGCAGAGAAAGAAUAAGUACAGGUAUUUGUGGCUUCAAAGCCAGUGCUUUUAACCCCUAUGCCAGCUUCUCUCACUCCCAACAUGCUCUGGGCUGGGGCUAAUCUGGCCACAUUUCCCCUGGAAUCUAGAAAUCCUGACUGCCAGCAUGGCACAGGGCUCUGAAGGGUUCAUUCUCUCCUGAGAGUAAAACUGAAAGUGUUAGGGAGCAGCUGGUUGGCCUCAGAUGGCAAAGGUGAUGCUCUGAGAACCUACCACUCAUUGAACAUUGAACAUUUGGAAGCAUGUGGAGGAAAUUUUAUCAAUGGUCUUUCCUUCAUUUUUUGGAGAACUGACUGGAAUGUUUUUCUGUCUUCUAAUUUGAGUUUACCCUCCAAGAAAAUUCUUCCUUCAGACCAUAGGCAAGCUCUUGGAUCUUGUUUUAUAAUCCCAACCUUUGAAACAAUAGCUAGAAACUUGGUGGAGACUCAUUUGGUUAUUAAGCACCAUGAGAUGCUCAGUAAAUAUUUGAACAAAUUAAUAGACAAAACAUUCUUAUUUUAUUAUUAUUUUAAAGAUUUUAUUUGUUUUUUUGAGAGAGAAAGAGCACAAGCAAAGUGGAGGGGCAAAGGGAGAGGCAGAAGCAGAUUCACCACAGAAUGGGAAGCACAAUGUGGGGCUUGAUCUCAAGACCCAGAGAUCAUGACCUGAGCCAAAGGCAGGUGCUCAACUGACUGAGCCAUCCAGGCACCCAACAAACCAUUUUUAAAUUAAACUUUUAAUUUUAAGAUAAAUAUAGAUUCACGUGGAGUUUUAAGAAAUGAUACGGGGCUAUUCCUUGUGCCUUUUAUUCAAUUUCUCCCAAAUAGUGACUUCUUGCAAAACUAUAGUACAAUGUCACAAAUGACAUCAACACAGUCAAGAUACAGAGCAUUUUCAUCGCCAUGGGGAUCCCUCAUGUUGUUCUCAUUCCUUCCUGCAUCUCCCUCUCUACUCAUAACACCAUGGAAAUCAUUAAUCUGUUCUCCACUUCAGUAAUUUUGUUAUUUCAAGAAUGUUAGGUAAGUAGAAUCAUAUAGCACAUUUCCUACUGAGAUCGAUUUUCUUUUUCACUUAACCCAAUUCUCUGGAGAUUCUUCAAGCUGUUGACAUAUCAGGCAUUUACUCCUUUCUUGCCAAGUAAUAUUCCAUGGUAUUGAAACUGAAGUUUGUUUAAGCAUUUAACUGUUGAAGGACAUUUGGAUUGUGUCCAGUGUUUGGCUGUUAGGAAUAAAGCUGCUGUGACCAUUCA